GACAGCAAGGACGAUGGCGCAAAACCCCAGAGGCUGGGCUUUCCCAGGCAGUCUGCUCUCGCUCGCUCCUGUCCCACGGUCCCGUCUGUGACACAGGGACAACGGCUUCUGCCUUGCUUGUCCGUUGUGAAGAUCAGAGUAGAGGGGGAUUCAGAAAAAGGUGAAAUUCCCCCUCUUUCUGCAGUGAGUGUUGGACAGUGGCCUCAUUAACUGGUUUACAUGCCCAUUUGGCAGGGGAACAGGUGAGCAGCACAGAAGUAAUGGUGCUUGGAUGAAGAAAGUCACAAAAAGCAAAAGUCUUGACCCCGAGACUUGGGAGAUGGAGCCUCCUCCAGGUCUCUAUCUACAUUGAGAAGGAAUCUAUCACUGGCCCCUUCCCUCAAGAUGAUGGAUGGAUUUACUGAAUAUGCUGAAAUCCAUGCUGCAAGGAGAACUUGAUGCAUGUGACUCCACAAACUGAAAUGAACAGACCACACAGACAGCAUGGUGGGCUGGGAGACUGGACCGCGCUCCUAACUGCGAGGUCAGGCUCGGCAGCACUGGUAGAACCUGGGACCUGACAGAAACGCAAAAUCUCAGGCCCUGGCCCAGACCUCCUGAAUCCGAAUCUGUGUUCUAACAAACCAGCAUUUUAAAGCAUUGCUCCAAAGCAUGUCUGAUCAUCUACAACCCACGUAGGGGAGGGUGUGCAAGUUCAUUUUUCUUUUCCUUUUUAUAAAAUUGAUGUAUGGUUCAUUUA